AUGAAGAAAAAUGGAAAUUUUAAAAGGGUAGGCAAUGAUGAGGACAUCAAUACCAUUGUUACACCCACAGCCCCUGCUGCUAUACAUACUGGACCAAUUACUAGAGCUCGCGCACGCCAACUAAAUUACCAGGUACUUUCGUUUCUUGGUAAUGAUUCUAAUGUUCAUGAGAAUAUGAUGCUGCCUAAAUUGGAUACAUUUGUUUUGCUUACAAAUGAAGGGCCUAGCUUGGAGAAGGAUGAACAUUGGAGCAAGAGAAAGCAUGGAGAUGAUAGCAUGCGCAAGGGGAACAAGAACGGAGUUAUGAGUGAUGAUUUCAGGUCUUUGAAGCCACCAUAA
rnacentral:rRNA from 1 species